UACGUAUGGUGCAAGCGUUAUCCGGAUUUACUGGGUGUAAAGGGAGCGCAGGCGGUGCGGCAAGUCUGAUGUGAAAGCCCGGGGCUCAACCCCGGUACUGCAUUGGAAACUGUCGUACUAGAGUGUCGGAGGGGUAAGCGGAAUUCCUAGUGUAGCGGUGAAAUGCGUAGAUAUUAGGAGGAACACCAGUGGCGAAGGCAGCUUACUGGACGAUAACUGACGCUGAGGCUCGAAAGCGUGGGGAGCAAACAGG
rnacentral:rRNA from 1 species